UGCAAUCUAUGAUGGAAACUUCCAAUCAUAUCUGAUUAAUCAGUGAUUAUCACAAAACAAUAUCACCAUCUUUCGGCUGAGAUUGCA
rfam:Vitis vinifera, whole genome shotgun sequence of line PN40024, unoriented chromosome 10, chr10